rnacentral:lncRNA from 1 species
ACCGCACCACGCAGCCUCGCCCAGCACAGCUCCCUUCCCGCCCCUGCUGCACAAAGCCCACCCGGACUUAGGGAGAAGGGGGCUCAAUACGGGCCCGAAACGAGGCUACAGACCUUCUCAGAAGCAAAGGCAGCGACUGCAGGCAAAUGGGGCUGUGGGCCGGGCUGACCCUGUCCUCAGACCGGCUUUUUUCUCAUCAUUUGAGAUUCUCUCAUUAAAUUCAAGACCCUCCGGAAGAAGCCUUGCUUCUGUCCAGGAUUGUCAGGAAAAUCAGCCUUGCAGCUCAUUGGCUCUGUGUUUCCCUGAACCAAUGGCUGCAGCCAGGAGAAGGGACCUGUGGAGGAAUCAAGCCCAGCUGGAAGAAGAGGGUGGAGUCAACCACACCCAAGAGGAGGGAAGGGCUUUCCCAGAGGACACUUUUGACUGGGGCACCACUGCAACAAAAGAAGGAUAAAGUAUACUGUGUGACAAUCCCAGAUGUCCCCUACAAGCCUUCUGUCUUUCCCCUAAGCCCACUACCCCUUAGUACUUUAUUCCUCCCACAGCAGCAGAGGCUGCUCCAGAGAAGACCAAGCCUAGCCAGUCAGGAAAAGUGACAAGAUCGCCCACCUUCAGCUACAACUUUGAGGUGUGUGUAGAGGGGAAAAGGAGUGUGGCCCUGCCAGCUCAUAGCUCUAGUCUCAUCAAAGGAAACAAAAGAGAGUGACAGUGUUUUGCUCAGCUUUUGCUGCUUACAGAGUCUUUAUGGCAUCAUCCACAAGCAUUUAUUUUUCCCUUCCAUGUCUGUGGGUUGGCUGGGGUCUGCUGGCUCAGGAUGGACUCCUCGAUCUCAGGCUCCAGGUGAAAUUUGGACCUGUGCCACAGAGCACUCAUUGGCCUGGAGCCAGCUCUCCCUGGACCAUGCUCAUCUCACCGCCAUGACUGAAGCAUAGGAGACCAAGGCCAGCCACACGGUGCAGUCCCAGCCUCUGCCACAUCAUCUCUGCCAAUGUUCCAGUGGCCCAAGCAUGUCACGUGGCCAUGCUCAAAGUCAAAUCAAGGGGAAGUGUGUUUCCCACUGAUAUGGUUUGGAAGUUUUUUCCCCUCCAAAUAUUGUGUUGAAAUGUGGCUUCCAAUGUUGCAGAUGGGGCCUGGUGGGAGGUGUUUGGAUCAUGGGAGCAGAUCCCUCAUGAAUGGCUUGGUGCCCUCCUUGUAGUAAUGACUGAGUUAUUGCUCUGAGUUCAGGCAAGAUCUGGUAGUUUUAAAAAGCAUGUCACCCCUUUUCUUGUUCCCUUUCUUGCCACUUGACAUACUUGCUCCCCUUCCCCCUUCUGCCAUGAGUAGAAGCUUCCUGAGGCCU